CAGAUGGAAAUCACUUUCUGUCCUCAUGUUAAAGGGGUCCUAGCCCAGCCCUGGAAAGGGGUUCCGGCCAGAAGAGACAGUGUGUUCCAGGCAGGAUGGCAAGGACUUUGUUCCUAGAGACGUCACACCGCCUUGUGAGCCGGCGGAGACAGAUGGUCUCGGUUACCCCGGGAAGAGUGUGGCUUCUGCACUCUCCUUCUUCCUCCCUGGGUUAAGCUGCUCUGGCCCCGCCUCACUCCUCCUCGGGGGCCGUGUGUGACAUCAGUGCAGCUGCAAGGGCUCGUCUGUGGGUGCACGGAGCUUGAAUAACUGCAAGACUGUCAGGGCCCGCCGCCGCCCCGCGCGGGACGGAGAGGCGGGGGCGUCGCUGGAGUCCCCGACGGAUCAGUUCAAGGAGCAAGGGGACUGGUGAAGCCAUGGGUAUUUAGGGGGAAAAAUUCCUAACUGCCCCCGAAUAUUAUCUAACCUGGAUUCAUCUGCUUACCUGAGUGAUUGUAUGUCAGCCCCAGUUCUGCCUUUGGAAGUGGCAUCAGAAUACAGCUUGUGGGAAGAGGGGGGUCCCUCAUCUACAAGGCCAGCACUGAAGGACAGGCUGCUGGUUCUCAGACUCCAGUGACCUGGAGUCCCAAGAGCUCCUCAAAACUGCAAAGUCCUGCCUGGGCCCCACCAAGACGUUCGGUUCAGUAGACCCCCACGUGAUUCUACUGCAAAUGAGUGGGGCUGGUCUUCGAGAAACAUGGGCAAAUACGAGCGGAAACCCUCUGCCUUGACAGCGUGUUGACCUUGGGGAGGACAGGAAGGGGCUGGGGGUGAAGAAUUGGCAGCAGGAAGGUGGGGACGAGAAGAAACUGAACCCCAGCCUGCGGUGGAUACAGAAGAGAGAAGGAAGAUGUGGACGUCUCUUUUACAUUUAUGUUAGAGAAUGGAAAGGUUUAAUGUGUUUAUGUGCUGAGAUGAACCAGCCAGUUGUGAGGGAGAGGCUGACACUGACAGGAGACUGGAAGUGACCGAAGGAGCGAGACCCCAGGUAGGAGGGUCAGAUCCAUGCCUCCACGCGGGGCGGCCAGCCACCUUUGCAGGGGAUUUACCCCUUGAGUCAGAAGGAAAUCCGAACAAUAACUCGUUGAGAUAAGAGAAAACGGAUGGAUGGUGGCGUCUGAAGUUUCUGUAGCAGUGUUGCUGGGCAGUUUGGCUUAACUUGAAGUGUUGAAACAGGAAAAUAGGAUUCGGAGGGACUACGGAUACGAAGGAAAGCUCUCAUCACAGCCCAGAUGGUACCAGCUUCCAAGCAGCAGUGGGGUCUCGAGGCUCAGGAGAAACCGCUCCAUCUUCUCACCAGAAGGGGACACACGGAGCCUGAGCUUCUUACUAAAACCGCGCUGUACGGCCAGACUGUCAUUCACGUGGGGCCGGACAGCCCCGUGACUCUCGGUGGAUAAUACGUUGCCCAGCGCUAGGUCGUGUUAGAGGGAUUUGAUGCAUUGUUUUUGAUGUUGACCUUGCAUUGGAUAAAGGUUACAUGCAUACAUUAUUACAUAAAUGUACAUUCUCGUUCCAAAAAUUCAGAAAAUACAGACAAGCAGAGAAAGGGGAAGAAGUCACUCCUAGUCCUACUGCAGGAAGAGGACCACUGUCGAGACUUGGCGCUGUGAACCCACCUGCAAGAUGACCCCCAGUAAGCCUUGCCUCCCAGCGUCCACGCCCGGGGGCAGCCCCUCCCACGCAAAACGAGGGCGAGCCCUGCGUGACCAGGAGGACGUGGCAAAGUGACCCUGCGGGACUGCCGAGGCCAGGCCAUAAAAGACACAGCAGCUUCCACCCACCACGCGGCUCCCCCGCAGCGGCCCCACUGCCGAUUUGGGCCAGCCACUUCUUUGCUGUGGGCGCUGUUCUGUGCAUUGUAAGACGUCCAGUAGCAGCCCUGCCCCCGCCCACUAGGUGCCGGUAGCACCUCUCGCUCAGUUCUAGGAAUCAGAAGUGUCUCCAGACGUUGCUGACUGUCCUGGGGCCACCGACCUACAUUCUUGACUUGCGAGCUCUGGGGGAAACCAGCCACCAAGGGUCGUGGAGGGGAGCUCACGGGGAGGGGCUGAGGCCCCCAGGCCGAAGGCUGGCACCUCUUGCUGUCCAUUGUCAGGGGGCCACCUGGAGGUGGACCCAGCCACCAGAUGACUGGGAGCCGGGCCGCAAAUUGUUGGCAAAGUUCAUGGGAGCCAGAACCGCCUGAACGGACUGCUCCCAGGUUCCUAACCCCGGGAAACCAGGAAAGGUGAAAGAUAACGAUUUUGUUUUAAAAGCCACUAAGUUUGGGGGUGACUUGCUUAGUUGAUUUCUUCGUUUAGCAACCAUUCUUGCUGUCUGAAGCCUGACUACGUUUUCUUUCCUCGAGCACAUUUCCCAAGGGCCUGGCGCAAAGAGUGAAUAAUGACCAGUGUGAUUGUUCCUCUGUUACCUAAAGUUACCGUGUGACACGAACUCAUUCACAACAUUUCAGGUCGAGAACGUGUUACAGCCCCAGCCCCUGAGGGGUGUGAUGUCCGGGACGCUGGCCCCCACGCUCCAGUUUCCGUGAACUCAGCUCCUGCCUCCGAGCGGCGAGUGGUAACAGUUAGGAACGCGCCCCUCUGUGCCCGGCCAGGCCUGGAGAAGAAUUCUGCACACACCUGAGGGUCUUGGUCCCUCACUCUUUUCAGGUCAUCAGGUGAACUGAGGCGUGAUCGCACCCCAUGAAUUAGGCUAAUUCCAAAAGACUGCCCUUGGGUCUAGCCUACCUCCAUGGGCUCACAGAAGAUGUGACUGUCACUCGCUGUGUACAAAACCAGAUCUGCCUGUGCUUCUGAAACAGAGUUGGUCCAGCUGUAACUUUGCACCAGCCUUGAAAAUUCACCCGACCUGCUACCCAGUGGGAGGAUCUGUCUGCUAGCAAAUAACCUGGUAGACGAGUUUUUUACUCUGAGCCAGACCGCGGUGACUUGUGUGAUGGAACAAAACCCAAGUCCUAGAUCUGAGCAGGGUGACAGCCUGUCAUCCGAAGUCCUUUUCAGCAUCCGGUGAAGCAUGUGUCUGCAGUGGGAAAUGCACACUUCUUCCUUGGGCUUUAUCUGCUCUGCUUAAAUGGUCGUUACCUUCAACCCCUGUGUUGAGGAAGUGAUGGAAUUCUGUCACACAGAUGAAUAUACUUAAGUACACACCAGUAUCUUCUCGGUCACGUAUCAGUAGUUAUUUGAGUUAUAAAUCAGUAGACUGUUACAUUAUGAAGGUUUCUCAGAGAAAACUGACCACAUUUUCUAUUAACAUACACAUCAUGAUCCUAUCAUGAUGACAAGUGUAAAUUUGACCUAAUUUCUGAUUCACUGAUGUGUUCAACAGAUAUUGACUGUGUUCUGGGCCUGGGGAAACAGCAGGAAAUCAGAGGACAAGGGCCCUGAUCUCACAGGGAGUGGCUGUUCCGGAUCAGGAAGAAGGCGGGUAAAGAAGGCAUUACCACAUCCAUCUUCAGGGUUAUUUUGAAGUCGUCGCCAAUGCACUGAAAACUAAGAACAGUACAAAGAUCUCCUUUCCACCUGGAUUUCCCACUUUUUAAUACUAAGCGUGUAACGUUACUAAUUACUAACGUGACUGCACUGCUCCAUCACUUUCUCCGCCUCUCUCUGAGAGAUGGAUAGAUGUCUUCCUGACUUCAGGCCCCAUCGCCCCUGAAUGCUCCCCACGUGCCUCCUACCGACGAGGACCGCCCCUCCACCCCGACCACGCGACGCUCCGACCGGACGUGCACACGGCGCGGCCGCCCAACCCGCAGGCCCGGGGAGCGUCUCACCGCGGGCCUGGGCGGGGCCUCCCCCGCUUCCCCGCGGAGCCUGCCCCGCGGAGCGCACACCGCAUCGGGCCGUCGGCCCAUCAGGCCCCCUCCCUCCGGACCGCCUCCCCCGCUGUCCCUGCCUCUGCCGUCCUUGACUGUCUCUGCAAGGGCACAGGCCCUUCCUGCCUCGGGGCGCACCUGUCCCGCCGGCGGGGCCGCGACCGCAUCGCCUGUCCAGCUGUGUCUGCCACUUCCCUCGAGCAUCUGAUUAUUUUGUGGGGGUAUUUUGCCAAUAUCCUGCUUCUCAUCAAAACUCCCCCCACCGGUGACACACACACACCAACUGCUACUAUUACUGUUGCCUGGCCUUAAUUGCUUAUUCCCAGGUUCCUUCCACGUCUCUCAGUUUGCCUUCCGCUGUAGGCGAGCUCUCCCCUCUCUUCAUUUAUCUCUUUACUUAGUUUUGUCAGCACGGACUCACGGACUCCUAUCUCAUGCACUGGGUUGGAAUCCAAUUACUUCUUUUGAUGCUGAAAUUAUUCUAAAAUCAGCCAGUGGGAGCCCCUUCCAGCCGGGUCUGUGUCUUUUCAACAUGGUCCAUCACUCUGGCCUGCUGCCUUGCUUUCCUACUCAAAAAGACGUUUCGGGCUCAUCUUGUACUCCUCCUGCCCCAGCAGGGGAAUCAGCCCCACUUCUCCCCCCGAGAUCUGGGUGCUGGUUGUGCCACUCCUGCCGGGGUGUCACUGCUCCUCGGCCUGCUCAGCUGACAGAGGUUGGAAAUGCAUGUAGGUCUGUCUGUGUGUGCACACAUGUGUGUGCACAGGUACGUGUCCACAUCACAUAAAUACACGUACACACACACAAACUCACACCCAUAACAAUUCCUACAUCUAGUUCUUGCCUGUGGCCAGACACCACCCGUGUCUUGCUGCUGCUGUUUCCACCUUCCUCUUAAUGCUUCCAAGCCCCAGGCACGCUCGGCUCGGCUCCCUCCUUGUCCGGGGGGAUGCAGGUUUAUGUAAACGGAGAAUCAGAGCCACGUGCCUGGCCCCAGGAGAAGUCUAUCCCCAAGAUAGACCUUGGGAGAGCUGGUGUUAAGUA